CCUACGGGGUGCAGCAGUGGGGAAUAUUGCACAAUGGGGGAAACCCUGAUGCAGCGACGCCGCGUGAGUGAAGAAGUAUUUCGGUAUGUAAAGCUCUGUCAGCAGGGAAGAAAAUGACGGUAUCUGACCAAGAAGCCCCGGCUAACUACGUGACAGCAGCCGCGGUAAUAAGUAGGGGGCAAGCGUUAUCCGGAUGUACUGGGGGUAAAGGGAGCGUAGACGGGAGGGCAAGUCUGAAGUGAAAGGCGGAGGCUCAACCCCCGAACUGCUCUUGAAACUGUCAGGCUGGAGUACAGGAGAGGUAAGUGGAAUUCCUAGUGUAGCGGUGAAAUGCGUAGAUAUUAGGAGGAACACCAGUGGCGAAGGCGGCUUACUGGACUGUAACUGACGUUGAGGCUCGAAAGCGUGGGGAGCAAACAGGAUUAGAUACCCCAGUAGUC
rnacentral:rRNA from 1 species